rnacentral:tRNA from 1 species
CAGGAUGUAGCUAACACAAAGCACUCAGCUUACACCUGAAAGACACUCGCCUACACCCGGGUCAUCCUGA